CCUACGGGUGGCAGCAGUGAGGAAUAUUGGUCAAUGGGCGGGAGCCUGAACCAGCCAAGUCGCGUGAGGGAAGACGGUCCUAUGGAUUGUAAACCUCUUUAGGCGGGGAGCAAUGCCGGGCACGCGUGCCCGGAUGGAUAGUACCCGCAGAAUAAGCAUCGGCUAACUCCGUCCCAGCAGCCGCGGUAAUACGGAGGAUGCGAUCGUUAUCCGGAUUGAUUGGGUUUAAGGGGUGCGUAGGCGGAGUUUUAAGUCAGCGGUAAAAUGUCCGGCCUAAACCCGGGCCGGCCGUUGAAACUGGGGAUCUUGAGUGUGCGAGAAGUAUGCGGAAUGCGUGGUGGAGCGGUGAAAUGCAUAGAUAUCACGCAGAACUCCGAUUGCGAAGGCAGCAUACCGGCGCCCGACUGACGCUGAGGAACGAAAGCGUGGGGAUCGAACAGGAUUAGAUACCCCAGUAGUC
rnacentral:rRNA from 1 species